rnacentral:rRNA from 1 species
UACGUAGGUGGCAAGCGUUGUCCGGAUUUACUGGGUGUAAAGGGCGAGUAGGCGGGGCGGCAAGUCAGAUGUGAAAGCUAUGGGCUCAACCCAUAGACUGCAUUUGAAACUGUUGCUCUUGAGUGAUGGAGAGGCAGGCGGAAUUCCCGGUGUAGCGGUGGAAUGCGUAGAGAUCGGGAGGAACACCAGUGGCGAAGGCGGCCUGCUGGACAUUAACUGACGCUGAGGAGCGAGAGCGUGGGGAGCAAACAGG